UAGACUUUUUCACUUAUACUAUUACAAGACACUUAAUUACUAGCUUAUCUUUGGUUUUAUAUUGUUCACGAUCUCGUCCCGAUUCAGACUGAUUCAGACUGAUGUUCUAAUCCUUAAUCCUGAUCCACUCAACCUCGGCCAGAAGCUUUUUAUUCGAACUUCAUCCAACUUUCAGUUAUGUUUCAGAUAAAAGCUUUAUGCUGAAGUUAUUUCAAUGCAUUGUGAAAUUAAAAUUUGCUGACUGAUGCAGUUUGAUUGAAGCGCAAAAAGUUGAUUGAUUAAUUUUGGUUAUUUAUGCUAGGGGUGCUAUUGUCGCCAAAGAAGGGCAAAGACAAGCAGCCUAAGGCAGCCCUAAGUGUUGGUGACAAAGACAAAGGCAAAGGCAAUGCUGCUGAGAUUGGAGUUUGAAAUUUGUUUAUCAACUGGGACAGAUUGCUAUAUUUAUAGGUUGUAUAGCUUGCAUAUAUUGUUGCAGAAGUAGAACUCACCGACAAUGGCAAGUCUUAAGAUCAUUCCACACUUAAGGAUGAUGACGAAAAGAUAGUGUGAAACCAAAAAAAAUUGUUCAAACUAUUUUUACUAAUAUGUUUGCGUUUCAUAUAAAACUUACAAAAAACAAGCGGAGAAGGCUAAGAUCACUGUGAUGACCGGCAUUGCCAACAAUCAAGCAUCGGAAAAGCGUGAAGAGCGACUGAGAGGGAGAAGACAGUUUACUCUAGUGGAGUCGACCAAGGAACGCGCUGUGUCAAUGGCAAGACAUAUUGGUAAUAAAUUGACUUCCACCGAAAGCCAAAAAGUGUGUUACGUUACUGAAUAAUCGGGUCAUUACAUUGGCGACGAGUGACAAUAUCGGUAAAUAAUAAUAUUAACUAAAAAAAUUUGGUAAAUUUGCCAAUCAGACAAAGAAGAAGAGGCCGAAAGUUUGUGUGCAUUUAAAACUCUAAAAAAAUGCCGCCGGCAUUUACAUGGAAAUAAUAAGGAAAAGGAGAGAAGGAGUAAACAGAGAGAAUGCAAAUCGGCACUUUGCCAACAGAAACCAAAAGAGAAGAAAUUAUUACCAUCUUUUAAGAAAAAA